rnacentral:rRNA from 1 species
AUUGCCCUAGUAACGGCGAGUGAAGCGGCAACAGCUCAAAUUUGAAAUCUGGCUUCGGCCCGAGUUGUAAUUUGUAGAGGAAGCUUUAGGCGCGGCACCUUCUGAGUCCCCUGGAACGGGGCGCCAAAGAGGGUGAGAGCCCCGUAUAGUUGGAUGCCUAGCCUGUGUAAAGCUCCUUCGACGAGUCGAGUAGUUUGGGAAUGCUGCUCAAAAUGGGAGGUAAAUUUCUUCUAAAGCUAAAUACCGGCCAGAGACCGAUAGCGCACAAGUAGAGUGAUCGAAAGAUGAAAAGCACUUUGAAAAGAGGGUUAAAUAGCACGUGAAAUUGUUGAAAGGGAAGCGCUUGUGACCAGACUUGCGCCGGGCGGAUCAUCCGGUGUUCUCACCGGUGCACUCCGCCCGGCUCAGGCCAGCAUCGGUUCUCGUGGGGGGAUAAAGGCCCUGGGAACGUAGCUCCUCCGGGAGUGUUAUAGCCCAGGGUGUAAUGCCCUCGCGGGGACCGAGGUUCGCGCAUCUGCAAGGAUGCUGGCGUAAUGGUCAUCAGCGACCCGUCUUGAAACACGGACCAAGGAGUCAAGGUUUUGCGCGAGUGUUUGGGUGUAAAACCCGCACGCGUAAUGAAAGUGAACGUAGGUGAGAGCUUCGGCGCAUCAUCGACCGAUCCUGAUGUAUUCGGAUGGAUUUGAGUAAGAGCGUUAAGCCUUGGACCCGAAAGAUGGUGAACUAUGCUUGGAUAGGGUGAAGCCAGAGGAAACUCUGGUGGAGGCUCGCAGCGGUUCUGACGUGCAAAUCGAUCGUCAAAUCUGAGCAUGGGGGCGAAAGACUAAUCGAACCAUCUAGUAGCUGGUUACCGCCGAA